rnacentral:rRNA from 1 species
UACGUAGGGGGCAAGCGUUGUCCGGAAUCAUUGGGCGUAAAGAGCGUGUAGGCGGCUCGGUAAGUCCGCUCUGAAAGCCCGGGGCUCAACCCCGGGAGGCGGGCGGAUACUGUCGGGCUAGAGUCCGGAAGAGGCGAGUGGAAUUCCUGGUGUAGCGGUGAAAUGCGCAGAUAUCAGGAGGAACACCAAUGGCGAAGGCAGUGGGCUGGGCCGGCACUGACGCUGAGGAGCGAAAGCGUGGGGAGCGAACAGG